GCGGGAGUAGUUCAAUUGGUUAGAGCACCGCCCUGUCAAGGCGGAAGUUGCGGGUUCGACCCCCGUCUCUCGCG
rfam:Chlamydophila pneumoniae AR39, complete genome.